CUCGCUGCCAGAGCAGGAAUCCCAUAUCACUCUGUUUGCUGUACAGAUUGUGAUGAAUCUGAAGUCCAGAGACACACAGGCUACAAAAAAAAGUGAAGUGUCCAGUGAGCCGACAGCCAGAACUGCCACCAGCAUGCCGGAAAGGGCUUGUCAAGGGUGGGAAGGAAGAGUGGCUGCACCACAUUGUCUUCCAGGCAUGUUUGGCACGUGGUCCCUAAGGGACUGCUGGAUGCUGGAGUAUAUUUAGGGCAGCUUCUGGGCUACUUGAGCUCACAGUGAGAGAGGUAAGGCAAAAACAUGCAGCUGCACCCAACUCCUAGGGACUAUCUUGCUUCCCACUGCUUGUGAGAAAGGUCUGAGCAGAGCAGAGAGAACUUAGACCCACAUCACACUACACACCAACUUCUCUGCCUCUUUCUAGCUGCCAAAGUAGGAGGGUGGGAGUUCCAGUGAAAACUUUCUUCUGGAGUGGGGAAAAAGACAAAUAAAGAAUAGCCAGUGCUGUGCUCACACUCUUCUUUGCAUCCUAAAGUAGCCCCACAGACUGACAUAAAUGAUUUUAUUAACUUGUGCUCACAUGAAAUACACACAAACACGGAAGCAGGGAAGGAUUUCAGGGCUGUUUCCAGCUCUGAAGCAGCUCUUUGACAGGGCUACACUGGUUGUUUUUUUUCUCCCCAGAUGAGAGACUGGUCAACACCACCCCUAAACUCACCUCCACCCCCAAACAGCUGUUCUGCCAAAGGGUGGAGAAGCAGACCUCCUGACUGAGGGUGGAGCAGUUUAAAGGGGAGGAAAGCAGUGACUUCACUUCAUAUUAAGUAAUAGCAGAGGAGGGUGUGCGUCACUCUGAAAAACAAGACUUUGGGUGGGGGCAAAGACUCUCUGCAACAUCUUAUGCAUGGAGCCUUCCUCUUUGUGGGAAAUGAGCAGGAUACACCAUUCUGAAGAGUGAAUUUAGAAAGUAAAAUAUCUUGAGCACCUCGUAAUCUUAUUUAAGGGGAUCCAAGAAGAACAUCAAGGUGAAAGGGCUCAUAAUGGUGAAAGUCUUUUGGGUUAGACUUUAGGAAACACUUUCCUCCAGCAAGGAUAGAGAAACAUAGGAAUAGAUCGAGUCCCUGUGAAAAAUGCAGCAUGUGGGGGUCAGUUUUCCUAGGGGGCAGAUGGCACUGGGGUCUGUAUACAAAUACUAGGGGAGUGAUGGCAGGACAGACAAAGGUGUCUUUGUGAUCACAGUUUUACCUGCAAGGGUGCUGCUCACAGCUUCCUCUCACCCUGUGCAACUGAACAAGUAUCACAAGAUGUGGAUCUAUCUUCCCAAAUAAUCCUUUCCCUGCAGCUGACUCCUUCAGGGCUGUAUGAACAGCCUCAGGCCAGUCUGUUGCAUUCUCUCUGCCUGAUUCAAUUGGCUUCUGCCAGUCCUGACUACUGCUGAAACAGUCUGUCAGGCUUGAGAGCAGUCUGGUAUGUUAGACAUCAUUCCAGGCUGUUCUGGGCAACACAGGAGGAAGAAGCAGUCUUGGACUCCAAAGGCUUCAAAUGUAACAAAUGUUUCCAUACUGCUGAUACUGUUCAUACUGCUCUGAAAGUGCAAUCACCAGAAUGGCCAUCCGAACAGAGGCUGUUAAAAGACUUCCCAAAGACUCUGUGCAAUGCUUGUGGCAUCAUCAGUACCUCUGGCCCCAUUUGCAGUGAGGACAUAACCAAAGGCACUUAAUUUCCUCUCCUAGACCUUCCAGGUGAAACUUAAAAUACCUUGGCAGUGUCCUAGAGACACAUGGCAGUGUGGGGGCACACCUCCCUCGUUCCUCUGGCUAGCACAGGGAGCUGCAGUGCUGUGCAUCGGUGCUGGCGUGUGCUUCACUCACUGGGCAUUUACCCAGGAUUUUGCCUGGGCAUGUUUGACCUUAGAUCCAUGCUACCACCCAUAUGAGUUAUUUUAUAUCCAGUUUUUACACACCUUUUCAUGCUGCAACCACACAUGGUCAGCGCAUCUCAGAUGCAGUCAGGAAUUCAGGCUUUGCUUAGGAGAGGUGUGAAAGCUGCCAGGCUGCCAAGGGGUCAGGCCCUUAAUUUUUUUUCCUGUAUAUAGACUGAAACCCCAGUUUUGUGGUACCAACCUCCCAAUGGCUCCUCAUGCAGACUUUCAUGAGAGACUCAUCAAGUCUGCAAAGAGCUCAAACACAGGCAAUAAGCAGCUUUCCUCAGCCUUGCCUCAAGUAUAUGACAAGGGAAAUAUAAAAAAUUAAAGAAGGAAUAAAUGUACUCUUUCUUCCAGUCUGACUGACAACAGCAAGGGCAGUUCAAUUUAGUUAAUAAAUAGAAUUUCGUGUUCCAACUUCCAACCUGAGAAAAAUAAAUUAACUGAGUGUUCAGAGAGUUCUACUGCCUUGCUCACAAAUCAUAAAUGGCUUAGCAGAACAGCACUGUUUUGGAAAUAAAGAAGAAAAGGACAAAGGAACAUAAACAAAAUAACAGGCAUCUACCGGCUCCCAAAAUGAUACUUGCCAAAGCCCUUUCUCAUUGCUUGCUGGCACAGCUGCUAGAGCAGACCAUUGCUCCCCUGGUCUGGAAACACUCCACUCACAGCUGACAGUUCAGGGGGACUGCCACACACCUGCUGGGUAGCAAAGGCUUCCUCAAGCUGGAGCUGAGAUAGGUUAGGAGGCCCUGACCAGUCCCUCUGCCUUGCUGCUUCUUGCAGCUAUUCUAACUCCUUUAGCAGCUCCUCUUAAGUGGGUCCAGCUAAGCAUCUCCCACCACCUGCAGUUCCUGUUAAGCACUCCUGAUCCUCACUGGGUUCUGGCUUUUUGUUGCUCAAAGACAACUUCUUCAACAGCCUUUUCUGGUCCUCUAGUUUGCUGUAUUUUUAUCAGCCAAGGCUGCAAACCAUUACAUGAGGCUAAGGGUGGUGAUCUACUAUGGCACAGCUAGUCCCAGCUUUUCACACUUGGUCAUCCUCAUUAUCCUCAUUUUUAUGCUGAUGAUGUUGUUGUUUUCUUACACAAAUCCAUCCAUAUGUGCUAGCAUAUGUUGAUCAGUAUUAGGCCCACCUCUAGGCUGCUUCAGCUCUUCUCUCUCAAACUGAGGCCAGCAGAGCAAUUCUGUCCCUGUAGCUCUCCUUCCCUCUGGGCUGACAUGCUGGUCAGCCAACAAAACAGAAAUGGAAACACGGGGUCUAAGUUAGUUCCCUGUAUCUUGCAGUCAGCCUGAGGCUCUCAUUAGGAUUCAUCAAAUCCUAAAAAAUAGUAGUUGUCCUAUAUAAGCCUCAGGACAGUCCUCUGUUUAUAACAACUUAAGAUCCUACUGUCACAUCCAUGCUGCAGACAAAUGAACUCAGAAAGACUAAGCCAUACUAGCAAAUUUGUGAGUCCCAAUGCUUCUCCACCCCUUCCCUGUUUUCUUAGAGCAGGCACUAUUCCUUUCCCAAACCAGGGAAUUAGUAACACUAAUGGGGGAAUGUGUCACCUCUGCAUGCUGAGCGUGACUCACAAAGUCAAUACAGCCUUAGCAGCUGAGAGGAACAAUGAGUUGUGUUCUCAGUUACGCUUUUUUUGGCUGCACCAUCACUGGAGCUCAGAACAAGGGCAGUGAUGUCAUGGCCAUAGGCUUAAUGUGUAAGUAUCAUAUACAGCACUACCAGCUCUCUGUGAUCUGUUACUUCCACAUUAACGUAACUUGGGGCAUAUAUACACACAAAUAGUUGCCAGAGCCAAGAAUAAGUAAUUUGGAACAGAUUAUUUUAUUUCAGGCUUUUAACAAGGAUGCUUGUCAGUCCCAACAGGCUUAUUCUGGGGAGGUAGUACCUAGCUCAGAACUGAGCUAUAUAAUUUAGUCAAGACCUCAGCUAUAAAGACAGAAGUUUGGAAUGUAGAAAUGGGCAGACAAGAAUCCUGCUAAAAAAUAGCUUACAUUUUUCUGACAAUUAGCCAUUGUUGCAAGUAUUUAUAUAAAUAGAGUAAGGAAAAGUUCAGAGACAAAGGAGGAAAUUACUCCCAGCCAUUUUCAAGAACAUUACUUUGAAGCAUUUUGUGCACUUGUAUUUGAGCAAGACUUUUCUCCGUUAGCCUCUGAGUGGAGUGGGGAAUUGUUCCUUCCUUUCAGAAAUGUGCUGUGUGUAUUAAGUGGUCUGUCAAAGGAGCCAGUGCAGGAGGGGUGUAGAGCUGAGCAGACAGUGACAUUGUGAUCAGAGGCCAGCCCCUGGGUCAUGCAGGCAGCUGGAACUCGCUGUAACCUGCCUGGAGCAUGUGCUGAUAACCCCGGCUGUGGGGUGGGUUCACGGGGUGCUGUGAGCAAACAUCCUCACCCCGGCCACUGCGCAGGGCUGGAGCCUGCACUGGGCUCUGGGCAGCCCACGGUGCUGCUAGAACCCAGCUCAGGGCAUCUGAACUGCACAUGGACGGGGCUGCAGGAGCUACUGUCUGCUUCUGCAGGGACAGCUGUGCCAAGAGCGACAGUUCCCUGCUUUAUAAAACUCUUUCCUAAUGUAUUGCCAGGUGCCUCAGGUGACAAGGCUUGCCUCUGUCCCGUGUUAUGGGCCCCUUUCAUCAUUUGCUGGGUUAAGCCAGGAUUCCUCUGGCCAGAAAAACAGGGGAAGCCCUGAGAAUUCAUAACACGAAAUCUUAUCUCAAGGGAAAAAACAGAGGCAUGUGUGUAGAGGCUUGUUGAACUACACAUUCCUCUAAUAGUUUCCCAAUGCUGAGUACCAGUGGGACAGUCACACACUUUGCUGUGUGU